rnacentral:rRNA from 1 species
UACGUAGGGUGCGAGCGUUAAUCGGAAUUACUGGGCGUAAAGCGUGCGCAGGCGGCUUUGCAAGACAGAUGUGAAAUCCCCGGGCUCAACCUGGGAAUUGCAUUCAAAACUGGCUAACUAGAGUAUGUGAGAGGGGGGUAGAAUUCCGCGUGUAGCAGUGAAAUGCGUAGAUAUGCGGAGGAACACCAAUGGCGAAGGCAAUCCCCUGGGCCUGUACUGACGCUCAUGCACGAAAGCGUGGGGAGCAAACAGG